AAAAAUUUGCUCUAAUGUUUUCUUCCAAGAGGUUUAUAAUUUUAGCUCUUAUAUUUAGAUCUUUGAUUUGUGUAAUUACUAUAUAAGAUACAUAAACAGGAUCAAGCUUCUUGCUUUUACAUGCAAAUAUCUAGUUGUCUCAGCACUCUUUGCUAAGACCACUCUUUCUCCUUGAACUGUCUUGACUGGCUCCCUUGUAGAAAAUCAGUUGGCCACAAAUAUGGGGGUUUGUAUCUGGAUUCUCAAUUCUAUUCCAUUGAUCUAAAUGUUGUUACAUAUGCCACUACCACAUUGUCUCGAUUAUUGCAGCUUUGCAGAAAGUUUUGAAAUUCCUAUUUAAAAAUCAAGCUGGAGGGGCUGGGGACAUGGCUCAAGCGUAGCGGGCUCGCCUAGCAUGUGCGGGGCGCUGGGUUCGAUCCUCAGCACCACAUAAAAGUAAAAUAAAGAUGUUGUGUCCACCGAAAACUAAAAAAUAAAUAUUAAAAAAUUCUCUCUCUCUCUCUUAAAAAAAUCAUAAAAUGUUAAAAAUGGGGGGGGGGAGUGUGACUUUAAUAAAAAAUCAAGCUGGAAUUGCAUUGCAUUGCAUUUGCAUCAUAGAUCAAUCUGGAGAGUACUCCUAUCUUAACAAUUUUAAAUCUCCCAGUCCACAAACAUGGGGUGUC
rnacentral:lncRNA from 1 species